rnacentral:rRNA from 1 species
CCUACGGGUGGCAGCAGUGGGGAAUAUUGCGCAAUGGGCGAAAGCCUGACGCCGCGACGCCGCGUGAGGGAUGAAGGUCUUCGGAUCGUAAACCUCUGUCAGCAGGGAAGAACGGUCACUGUGCUAAUCAGCAGUGAAUUGACGGUACCUGCAAAGGAAGCACCGGCUAACUCCGUGCCAGCAGCCGCGGUAAUACGGAGGGUGCGAGCGUUAAUCGGAAUUACUGGGCGUAAAGCGCUCGUAGGCGGUAUGUCAAGUAAAGGGUGAAAGCCCCGCGCUCAACGUGGGAACUGCCUUUGAAACUGGCAAACUGGAGUGUGUGAGAGGAUAGUGGAAUUCCAGGUGUAGGAGUGAAAUCCGUAGAUAUCUGGAGGAACAUCAGUGGCGAAGGCGACUAUCUGGCACAUAACUGACGCUGAGGAGCGAAAGCGUGGGUAGCAAACAGGAUUAGAUACCCGAGUAGUC